GGGAAUUUUCCGCAAUGGGCGAAAGCCUGACGGAGCAAUACAGCGUGAGGGAAGACUGCCUAUGGGUUGUAAACCUCUUUUUUCAGGGAGGAAUAAAUGACGUGUACCUGAAGAAUAAGCAUCGGCUAACUCCGUGCCAGCAGCCGCGGUAAUACGGGAGUGGCAAGCGUUAUCCGGAAUUAUUGGGCGUAAAGCGUCCGCAGGCGGCCUUGUAAGUCUGUUGUUAAAGCGUGGAGCUCAACUCCAUUUGAGCAAUGGAAACUACAAGGCUUGAGUGUGGUAGGGGCAGAGGGAAUUCCCGGUGUAGCGGUGAAAUGCGUAGAUAUCGGGAAGAACACCAGUGGCGAAGGCGCUCUGCUGGGCCAUAACUGACGCUCAUGGACGAAAGCCAGGGGAGCGAAAGGGAUUAGAUACCCCUGUAGUCA
rnacentral:rRNA from 1 species